GAAGUUCCGGCGGUAGAAGAUGGGCAUGCGUCCUAUUAGUUAGUUGGUAAGGUAACGGCUUACCAGACGUCGAUAGGUAGGGGUCCUGAGAGGGAGAUCCCCCACACUGGUACUGAGACACGGACCAGACUCCUACGGGAGGCAGCAGUGAGGAAUAUUGGACAAUGGAGGCAACUUUGAUCCAGCCAUGCCGCGUGCAGGAAGACGGCCCUAUGGGUUGUAAACUGCUUUUAUACAGGAAGAAUGGUACCUACGUGUAGGUAUUUGACGGUACUGUACGAAUAAGGAUCGG
rnacentral:rRNA from 1 species